CGAGUUGGCCGGGUGAUCGCGGACUUCUUGGGGCAGGCAGCGCUUGUCCGAACACAAGAGUCUGAGGAAAGUCCGGGCUCCACAGGGCAAGGUGGUGGGUAACGCCCACCCGGGGUGACCCGCGGGAAAGUGCAACAGAAAGUAGACCGCCUGCUGUGGCAUACGUGCGAGCGUAUGUAACAACAGGUAAGGGUGAAACGGCGCGUGUAAGAGACCACCAGUGGUGCAGGUGACUGUGUCAGCUAGGUAAACCCCACCAGGAGCAAGGCCAAGACUGGGCGCCCCUAACCGGGUGCCCGCGCAAACGCUAUUAGGGCUGCCCGCCCGAUGUUUGCGGGUAGGCCGCACUGCCGAGCAAGGCAGAAGGACGUCAGCAAUGGCGUUCGCAGAUAGAUGAUCACCGCCCCGUAAAGGGCACAGAACCCGGCUUAUAGGCCAACUCGUCCC
rnacentral:RNase_P_RNA from 1 species